AUAUUUUAAGAGAGAUUCUAAUGUUAGUAAUACUCAGGGGGCCUUUGGCCUUUGAGACCAAAAUCUUGGAAACAUUGAUUUUCUAUACUCACCCUGUUCCAAGCAACAAGCAGAUUUUUUGGUUAUGGGGAUAGUCAAGUGACUAUGGCUAAUUAAUUACAAACUUGUCAGGAAUCAUUCAGUUGGGAAGGUUUUGUUUCAAAACUCCUGUAACGUCCCGUGUGCCUUGCAGAACGGAAGUGAUUUGGGAAUUGCAUGGAAUUCUCACUGCCAUCCCAAAGAAAUGCUGAUCUUGUCACUCUUACCUGUUCCGUUGCCUGGGCAGAACAAAAGGAUGCACUUCAAAGAUCGGCAUGAACCAAGAACUGGGUUUCAUAUGAAAUAUUUUACUCUGUCCUCUUGAGAUGUGACAUGAAGAAAAGUAUUCAGAAUAUUUCUAUCACCUCAUCUUCAAGAAUCAGUAGGAAUUCUCCCAUGGUUCCGUGUGAUACUAGAGUUGCAUGGAUUUUUAAUCUUUACACCAAUGAAGAUCAGAGGCAAACAGUGCCCUUUAUUUAGAAGUUUGCAUGU
rnacentral:lncRNA from 1 species